UUUUUAUUCAGAUCGCCAAUUCCUCCGCCCAUCCUAAUCCAGCGCUGGUCCUCUUCCUCUUCUCCAUCCAAUCUAGCCAGGAGCCGCACGUGCGCGGGCCGUGGUGGCUGGCCAGCGCAGCACUCCCUAAUCGGCGAUGAACCCAGAGGACGCCAUGGCUGGCGCCUUGGAGCUCCUCUGCCUCGUCCUGAUCUGGCCGUCCGCCCCAGUCGCCAGCCCCGUGCUCCGGAUCAGGCCAGCAACCUCGCCUACGACUUGAUUCGGACCUCCUAGCCUUCGCCACCUGCGCCAUGCCCCAAAGGUUCGGCCGGUCCGCGUCACUCAUUCUCGCUUCUUCCUUUGCUCGCGGCUCGCGUUGACUGCGAAAGGCCACAUGCCUCGUCCAACCACAUCCUCUCACUGCCUUGCUCCUCCACCACCACACCUCUCCUUUCUUCCUCCCCUCCAUGCCAGCCGGGCACUCUCCCUCUCCCGCCUCCGUUCGCCGCAGGUGAGUGCGCGGCUGCGGGUGUCUGGCCAACAGUAACAACUGCGGCAGUUCGGUGCCCGGAGAAGCCGCGCGCUGGGCGAUGUGGAGGAGGACGACCUGCCGCUUCCUCAUUCGGGCAUCCUCCUCUGCGCCGUCGAGAGACGUCCAUGGCCGCCCGAUGCCCGAGCGCCGCCGGCCAAGGACCCGCCGGCGUCCAGACCCCCUCCACGCCAUCCCCAUCUCGCCGGAGACCUACACCAAGUCCCAUCCAGCACCCGCACCACCCUUUAGGCCCGCCCCGCAGCGCUGCAGCCCGAGCGCUUGGGCCGCCUCGCACCCGAAGCAGAGGAGAGGAGCUCCCUGCCACGAGCCUCUCCAGCCCGGACAAACCAGCAAGCCGACCCCGCCUCCUUCUCACUUCCCUCCUCCUUCCUUUUUUCCGCCGGGAUGCAUCAUCCCUUCCUUCGCUUCUGCGGCGUGGAAGCCGACAGCAAGCUGCGGCCCGUGCCCGACGAUGGAGAAGGCAAAUGGAUAAGCGGAGGUGGUGCCCGGCGGCGAAGCAGUUUAAUUAAGGACCGGGGUAGAAUUGUAACUAAUGUGGGGUGUUUAUGUAAAAACGAAGCGUUAUCUCAUGUACCCACUUAAAAUAGGACUGCGGAUUGAAUUAUCAAAAAUGAAGGGACUUUUCUGCAAAAUCGCUAGCGAAGACGGACGGCAGAAACCCAAUUCCCGAGCCGUCAUGAUCUCCUUCCUCCAUUGUUGGAUCACCGGAGCUGUCAUCCUCUCCUUCUUGACCAUCGAUGUCGUUGAGAAACCACAAGGGAUCACCUCCGUCGCGGAUUAUAUCCCCCAACAACUCUUCUUGUUCUAA